rnacentral:rRNA from 1 species
AUUGAACGCUGGCGGCAGGCUUAACACAUGCAAGUCGAGAGAGCGGCGGACGGGUGAGUAAGGUCUGGGAAACUGGCUGAUGGAGGGGGAUAACUACUGGAAACGGUAGCUAAUCCCGCAUACCAUCAGAUGUGCACAGAUGGGAUUAGCUGGUAGGUGGGGUAAUGGCUAACCUAGGCGACGCUCCCGAGCUGGUCUGAGAGGAUGACCAGCCACACGGGAACUGAGACACGGUCCAGACUCCUACGUGAGGCAGCAGUGGGGAAUAUUGCACAAUGGGCGAAAGCCGGAUGCAGCCAUGCCGCUUGUUUGAAGAAGGCCUUCGUGUUGUAAAGCACGUUCAGCGAGGAGGCGUUACUCGCAGAAGAAGCAACGGCUAACUCCGUGCCAGCAGCCGCGGUAAUAC